rnacentral:rRNA from 1 species
UACAGAGGUGGCAAGCGUUGUUCGGAAUUACUGGGCGUAAAGCGCACGUAGGCGGCUCUGCAAGUCGGUUGUGAAAUCCCCGGGCUCAACCUGGGAACUGCGACCGAGACUGCAUUGCUAGAGUAUGGGAGAGGAAAGCGGAAUUUCUGGUGUAGCAGUGAAAUGCGUAGAUAUCAGAAGGAACAUCAGUGGCGAAGGCGGCUUUCUGGACCAAUACUGACGCUCAGGUGCGAAAGCGUGGGAAGCAAACAGG